rnacentral:sRNA from 1 species
GGAGCAGCAACGAUGUUACGCAGCAGGGCAGUCGCCCUAAAACAAAGUUGGGCGCACAAUAAGGCUCCUCGCAGA